rnacentral:rRNA from 1 species
UGGGGAAUAUUGCACAAUGGGCGCAAGCCUGAUGCAGCGACGCCGCGUGAGGGAUGACGGCCUUCGGGUUGUAAACCUCUGUUAGCAGGGAAGAAGAGAGAUUGACGGUACCUGCAGAGAAAGCGCCGGCUAACUACGUGCCAGCAGCCGCGGUAAUACGUAGGGCGCGAGCGUUGUCCGGAAUUAUUGGGCGUAAAGAGCUUGUAGGCGGUUUGUCGCGUCUGCUGUGAAAGGCCGGGGCUUAACUCCGUGUAUUGCAGUGGGUACGGGCAGACCAGAGUGCAGUAGGGGAGACUGGAAUUCCUGGUGUAGCGGUGGAAUGCGCAGAUAUCAGGAGGAACACCGAUGGCGAAGGCAGGUCUCUGGGCUGUAACUGACGCUGAGAAGCGAAAGCAUGGGGAGCGAACAGGAUUAGAUACCCUGGUAGUCCAUGCCGUAAACGUUGGGCACUAGGUGUGGGGGACAUUCCACGUUUUCCGCGCCGUAGCUAACGCAUUAAGUGCCCCGCCUGGGGAGUACGGCCGCAAGGCUA